rnacentral:lncRNA from 1 species
ACUACUAUAGUCGUUUAAGUUUUGCUCCUUUUUACACACACAUAUGGAGAAGUCUGUGAUCUGCAAAAAAAUCUUCAUCUUCAUCGUGCUCGCAACAUUGUGUAACUCUCUCUCCCCCUUCCCUCUUUCUCAUUAUUAUAAUUCGCUUUUAAAGAAAAAUGUUGCACCGUUACUAAUCUCUUUUGAUUUUGUUUGAAUAUAUACACAGGUAUGGAGUUAUCGAAUCUUCCGCGAACAGAAGCGACAUUUUGUGACAAUGAUUCUCAAUGUUUAUAUUAUGCGCCGAUAUGCAAAAUUAGAGACGAAAUAUCUUACUGCGACACGAACUUGCACGUAUGCUUGUGCAAAAAACCUCAGCCAGAAGUCAAUAUUAAAAAUUAACGAUCAUCAUUGAUUAGUUAUGCUAAUAAUUUUUAAAUGGAAUUGAAAAAUUCGUUUCAUCUUUUAUGAGCACUGCUAUCUUUAAUUCAG